rnacentral:lncRNA from 1 species
UGUAUCACACAUCAUAUUUAAGAAAAAUAUCAACAUACUAGUUUUGUUCAAAUAGAAUUCUUUUCAAUAAUUGACAUAUUUAAGUAAACUAUAUUAAAUUUGUCCAUAAACUCUUAUUCUGUUGCUGGUGAAUUGUGAUAGAUAAAACAACGAAAAAAACGUCUAAUGGUCCUGAAAGGAACUUCUUCCUAUAAUCACUAUAUACAUGAUAUAUAUAUAUAUUUAUUUUGAUCUAUUUUCCCAAUACUAAAUCUUAAAAUUCCAAAAUGAGGCUUUCCCUUAACGUGAAGUGACACUUUUAAUAAUUAUUCUGCAGUUAUCAUAUUUAUAUAGAAUGAUAAAGGAAUGUCUGUUGAUAGAAAAUUGUUUCUAUGGUUAUCCAGAAAUAGAGUUAAGUGUUCUACUUUGAUAGAAAAUUAUCCCAACUGAUGUGAAUAAAGAAUGUCUGCUUUUGAAUGGAUGAUAUUUGUAGUUUGCACUGUAAGCCACUAGUCAGAUUUACUAUGAUAGGUAUGUAAUAUUGCAAUUGAACAUCGGAAAAUAUGACAGUAUUGUAGAUCAAGAAAUUAGUGUGAGAAUUUACCCUUUAUGCAUAUUGAAAAAUCAUAAAAUGUCAAGAUUAAUUAUUGCAAUUUUCUGGCACAAUUUUUUCAAUCCAAAAUCUAAUCUCAUAUUUGUUAUAUCUCUGUUCCAGUUUAAAAAGGGAUCUGAAUGAGUUAUCAAUAGAAGACAGAUAAUUGCUUUUAUUUAAAACAAACUAAAAAAACAAAUUCAAACUGACUUGAAAAAAAUAGCAACAUUUUUUGUUUUACGGGAAAAAAUCCAUGUAACAAAACAAUGUUAUAAAGAAAAUGAAAGACAAAAAAAAUAUAUUUGUGAAAAAAUUAUGGUUAUGAAUAUGAUAAUGACUGAUACGAUGUUUGAGUAAUAUAUACAUGUAGACAAAUACUUAUUAACAAAAAGUAUACAUCUUUACAACACGUGCAAUAAUAUACAUAUAUAAUGUGUGACCUCUCUAUAUCAAAAUAUCUCCUAUUCUAUAUUAAGCACCAACAUUUGCAUGAAAGCUUGAAAAAUGAGACAUUUGUAUUUUUUCAACAUGAUCAUGAAAAUUGUCAAAAACAAUUUGUUCAGUUGACGAAAAGAAUUAAAUAUGUUACCAUCUAUAUAAUUUUGUUCUCUUUUUUCUCUUCUUAAAAAAACCUAACCAAAGACAUGGAUAAAUUAAUAGUCCUUUAAAAUUUCUUAAAUUUCCUCAUAUAGCCUUAUAAAAACAAACAUGAUAAUGCCAUAUCUGAGACCAUUCAAUAUCUUUCAUUUUAAACUAUUAAAAGAUACUUUGGAAAGUCAUUGUCAUCAAAUGGCAAGUUUUUACACUAGGCACCAUAAUUUUUGUGUCAACUUGUUUAGCACUUGAAAAAAAAUAUACAGAUUCAUUUUUAUAUUUACAUACAGUAAUAAAAUUAUACCAACAACCUUUUAGAAAUCAUAAUGGUCACAUAUAAAAGAUCAUACAAUAAAAAUAAAAUAAAAUACAUGAUUCAAUAUUUUAUACCAUAAUAUUUCCUUUUUCUUUCUUUUAUUUCAAUUUUUUGACAUAUAUCAUCAAUAAUUUCUGUUUCAGUAUCUAUUUAUCUAGAAACUAUCAAAAAAGAAUGCACCAAAAUAUGUUGCAUAUUGGUUUGGACUAUUCCAUUUAAAAGGAUGGGGAGGGUAGGAAGUGACUUUUAAAAAACCCUCUACAACAUGCCUUGAGUCACUUUAGCACACAUUUAAUGGACAUUCAUCCAUAUAAGACCCAAACCCAAUGUCAAAAAUAAAACUUCUGGUAAGAAUUUUUCUGGAAAAAAGAUGCUACCAAUAUUUUCUAAGAUUCGAAAAGAGAAAAAAACUUUUGUUUUUAAAAGGAAUGUUUUUUAUUGAUUUAAAGUCUGAUCUUUUAUUUGUGACCAAAACCACAAUCAAUGCUGUCUUGUAAGUACAUCAGAAAAUAACAACCUAUUUAAAAAAUAAUGUCAAGAAUCCUGCAGAAAAAUUCUGCAAAUGCCUUCAAUGAACAAAUUACAGAUUAAGAAUUAUUCUGUCCAUGGAAAGAAAAAAACAUGACUAUAAAAAGAUAGUUUUAAUCAAUUAGUUUUCAAUAAUUUAAUAUUUUUUAAAAUUUAAAUUUUUAGUAGA